CGGUGCUCGGCGACGGUGGCAGGUUCGUCUCGGUCGUCUUGCUCGCCGUGCUCCUAGUCAUCCCCGCAUCCCCCGCCAUGGUGCACGGCCAUCUACAGGAGCACGGCAAGGAAGACAAAUGCUCUUGGAGGAGACGUACACGCAGGAGCACCAUUCCCAUCUAGUGCAUAUCACAUGUUUGACGUAAUGUCUAUGUAGAAGAAUACAGACAUAAUCGAUGCCCAAUACAAGUUAUUUUACGAAACAUGAUCAGAUAGCAAACAAUUACAAUAAUGUGUCACUGGUCGGGUGUGCUGUUGAUGUCUGCUCUAGGUGUUGAUUAUGCUGUUAAUCGGAGUACUUUUUUUUGCCAUAUUGUCGAAAUAGUUGAACAUAUGCAAUA
rnacentral:lncRNA from 7 species